rnacentral:rRNA from 1 species
GAUGAACGCUGGCGGCGUGCCUAAUACAUGCAAGUCGAGCGAACAGACGAGGAGCUUGCUCCUCUGACGUUAGCGGCGGACGGGUGAGUAACACGUGGAUAACCUACCUAUAAGACUGGGAUAACUUCGGGAAACCGGAGCUAAUACCGGAUAAUAUAUUGAACCGCAUGGUUCAAUAGUGAAAGAAGGUUUUGCUGUCACUUAUAGAUGGAUCCGCGCCGCAUUAGCUAGUUGGUAAGGUAACGGCUUACCAAGGCAACGAUGCGUAGCCGACCUGAGAGGGUGAUCGGCCACACUGGAACUGAGACACGGUCCAGACUCCUACGGGAGGCAGCAGUAGGGAAUCUUCCGCAAUGGGCGAAAGCCUGACGAAGCAACGCCGCGUGAGUGAUGAAGGUCUUCGGAUCGUAAAACUCUGUUAUUAGGGAAGAACAAAUGUGUAAGUAACUAUGCACGUCUUGACGGUACCUAAUCAGAAAGCCACGGCUAACUACGUG